ACAAAACUUUGCCGACAACUUCAAACAAAAAAACUCCGACAAAAAAAAAACAAAAAAACUCAGACACUGCUGCUUUAAGGAUUGCCACAACAAAGAAGGGGAUGUCGGCGAUAAUGUAUCGCCUCCCAUCGAGACCGAGGGAAGCAACUCGGCAGCAGAAGUGUAUCGCCGCUGUUUGGCGCUUCAAGUCUGAGCAACCCUCUUUCUUCCCCUUGUUAAGGAAGGGUCAUGCACCAGGGGUGGAAGCAGGCUUCAGUCUUUUGGAGCAGCUCUGGAGCAACAAAAGGAGACAUCCAGAAACGACCUGGUGCCUUGCGACGCCAGGUUGAUCUGCAAAGUGGAUUGUCCAGGAGUUCAUUAUUUUCAGUACACGUGUCAUGCUCUUCCGGGACUGCAGUGGUAGCAGGUCCUGUCUCAUGCUCUUCGACCUGCAAAGGAGCAGGGCUGCUCUGGAACACAAGACUCUGGAACUCGAGACUCUGGAACACAAGAAGCGGAUGUUUAACAAGGCAUAGCCGCUUCACAGGCCUUCCGACACCAGAGCCACCAGUGAUGGCCUCACUAUAGCUGCGCGUAUAAAAACCGUAUUGCGGCUGCUCCAACAAGGAAGCAUGCUUUUAUAAAUGAAAUGAUAUUUAAAAAGAAAGCGCGCAAGAGUUUUCGAUUCGAACCUUAGCAACCUCGAGUUCGAAAGGGCAGGGUUUUCUAGGUGCUUUUACAGCCACAGCGAUAAUAAAUGCGGAUGUAUGUGCUGGUGGAAGGAAUUACAAAACAGCUCUUCUGUAUAAUGAUCCAUGGAUAAAGUAUAUUAGAGGAAAAGUGUCAAUGCAUUCCUACUAUUUACGUGUUCUACUGCGAACGCAAAGCACGGAAAAUCAGAUCCUGAUGUCCAGACAUAGACAUGACAGAAAUUCUGGCGGCACGCGUGUAGUUAUUAUAGAAAAUUACUUUGUGACAUGCCGUGCAACUCUUCAAACGAGCUAUCAGCAGCAUUACUAGAACAGACAACGUCCGACGAUGAAUCGCCGCCAGUUUCACGCUACUGAUUGAAUUGGACGUCAGGAGCCCUUGCGGAGAGCGUGUUUUGCCGUUAACCUGGACUUGCAUAACACUGAGUGGCGUCGGCACCUAACAUAGCAUUGUGAAUUUUAGGACGCACGCGCGACCGCUGCUUAUUCAGCGUAAUAAAAUAAGUACAUGAUUGCUAUUUUGGUGGCCCCGAGAACAAGGUGCACAUGUACUGAAGCACCGGCGUGGCUAUUGCCAGUGAUAGACUACCCCAAAUCCGACUUGAGCGCAGUUUAGCGCAAUUUCCGCACAUAUUAUCAGGAUGGCGCAAUAAAUCUGAUUUGGCGCAGUGGUGCAAAAGUGGUAUCCCUGUGGUUUGAAUCGGGCCGUUAACGGAAGACUGCAGAGAAGUCUUACAGCUAUAGAAUUUUUAAAAUUUUUAUGGACAAGCCACGUGCUUAAAAAAGAAAAGUAAACAAAUUCUAAACAAGUUUAGAGAUCAAUGCAUAGAACUAGAACUCACAUGCGAGAUACUUUGCUCUAAUAAUUUGCAGUCUCUUAUACAAUGAUUAAGUGUCUCUGCGGAGCAUGUUUGCUGGCAGUAUAUUCUGCAUUGAGUGAGACCACUAUUGAAUUUCACACUGGUGCAUUCAAAUAUUGUUCAAUGAGGACCAAUGAUCAUGUACUUAGGCUUGGAAAAGAAGAAAAAGGGGAGGGGGGGGGGGGCACAUUAUACCUGAGCAAUAGUUUCCAGCUGCAAAAAGGCCCGAUGCCCUGCUUAUAUCAUAUUGCAUCGGUUCAUCCGCACCACAAACAAAGAUUAAUUACGACGACCUUCAUCCGCGAAAGAACUAGGAAUAUUGCGGUUAUUACAUGCAUACAUUCUGCACAGUCUAAAAGGAAAUAGGCAAGCGAUAUGAGGUGAGAGUUGUGUUUUCCGCACCACAAGCUUAGUAACAUUUCUUCCCUAGAGGGCAAAAGGUCGCAAGGGUCUGCAGUGGCUAUAAAAAGUACUAUGAGACGCAUGCCAACUGUUCUUUCAAUUGUUGUGCAAGAGUUGCUUACUAUAUUCCUCAUGUAUUCACAUAUAUACAUUUAGUUUAUGUAUCAACACACGCCUCAGAGAGUAUCAAAAUUAAUUGAAUGAAGCCAUCCCAUCGCACCUCGCAUCUUCAGUCAUGCAAAUGCAAUUUCAUCUUUGAAGGCCUGGCAAUCUUGCACAGUCACUCGAACCAGACCAUGCGAGAAAUCUGGGAGACAUAUCACAAAGAACACCACACUUUGUUUAAGUCAAUUAACCUUCUCUAUCAUUACAACACAAGAAGCUUAACCUUAUUAAUCAACUGCAAACACGUGCCUGGGUUGUUUGCCUUUUUAUGCCUUUUUGUGAUAAACGUGAUGCACGCCCAUUUUUUUUACAUGUUUUUUAACACGUGCGAUAACCUUUCAGUGGUGAGUGAGUGUUUCCUGUGAGCAUAUUUUUUUCCUGGUCCUAUACUUUUUUCUUUUCACAUUGAAGUUUUAUUCAAACCCAUAGUUACAAUGCCAAGAAAAUUUGGUAUGUGCAUAUCAUGCAAGCAACGUGCACAUGAUCUAGUGAAUGUAUUUUAUUUUACAGAAAACCGGUUAUUUGUCAAGCACUCUUUAAAUAUACCAGAACCCUAUAAUUUACUUGUAAACAGCAUGAAAGGACAUAGAUUUCAGCAUCAGGCCAUCUCCCUUUCCGUAGGAAGCGCCCACAUGAAUAUCACGCCGCUAACAUAAUAAAUAUAGCAUUAAAAGCAUAAGUAAAUGAACUCAUGCUUCCAAUUCAUCUGCACUUCUUUGAGCCAUCGCUCAUUCCUGAUAAAAUUGCAUCUAUUAUUGACCAUCAAGCAUUUCUUAAAUGGUUGCAUAAAUAUUAUUCGAAAUAGCAUCAUAUCGUCACCAUUUAUUGUUUUUUUCUGCAAAGUGGUACUACAUCUUUAAUAUAAAUUUAUUACUUUUUUGCUAGCGUGUGCCAGGUGUGUCAUUUUGUUUUUGUUUUUUAAUAAAAAUUCUAUUGCUCUCUUAC